rnacentral:rRNA from 1 species
UACGUAGGGUGCAAGCGUUAAUCGGAAUUACUGGGCGUAAAGCGUGCGCAGGCGGUUUUGUAAGACUGUCGUGAAAUCCCCGGGCUUAACCUGGGAAUGGCGAUGGUGACUGCAAGGCUAGAGUUUGGCAGAGGGGGGUAGAAUUCCACGUGUAGCAGUGAAAUGCGUAGAGAUGUGGAGGAACACCGAUGGCGAAGGCAGCCCCCUGGGUCAAUACUGACGCUCAUGCACGAAAGCGUGGGGAGCAAACAGG